UGGGGAAUAUUGCGCAAUGGGGGAAACCCUGACGCAGCGACGCCGCGUGCGGGAUGAAGGCCUUCGGGUUGUAAACCGCUUUUGAUUGGGAGCAAGCCUUUUGGGUGAGUGUACCUUUCGAAUAAGCGCCGGCUAACUACGUGCCAGCAGCCGCGGUAAUACGUAGGGCGCAAGCGUUAUCCGGAAUUAUUGGGCGUAAAGAGCUUGUAGGCGGUUCGUCGCGUCUGGUGUGAAAGCCCAUGGCUUAACGGUGGGUUUGCGCCGGGUACGGGCGGGCUAGAGUGCAGUAGGGGAGACUGGAAUUCCCGGUGUAACGGUGGAAUGUGUAGAUAACGGGGAGAACACGAAUGGCGAAGGGAGGUCUCUGGGCUGUGACUGACGCUGAGAAGCGAAAGCGUGGGGAGCGAACAGG
rnacentral:rRNA from 1 species